rnacentral:rRNA from 1 species
UUCGGUACGGUCUCUCUGGCCGACCUCCCACCCUUUGUCUACUUGACCAUCGUUGCUUCGGCGAGCCCGUCCUCACGGACCGCCGGAGGGACCUUCACCGGCCCUCUGGUCCGCGCUCGUCGGUAGCCCAACCAUUAAAAUCUUUAACCAAACGUGCCUUAAUCUAAGUACAAUUAUUAAAUAAAAGCAAAACUUUCAACAACGGAUCUCUUGGUUCUGGCAUCGAUGAAGAACGCAGCGAAAUGCGAUAAGUAAUGCGAAUUGCAGAAUUCCAGUGAGUCAUCGAAUCUUUGAACGCACAUUGCGCCCUUUGGUAUUCCGAAGGGCAUGCCUGUUCGAGCGUCAUUAUCACCCCUCAAGCCCCUGGCUUGGUGUUGGACGGUUUGGUGGAGGCCCCCUCGGGGGCUCCUGCCCCUCCCAAAGACAAUGACGGCGGCCUCGUUGGACCCCCGGUACACUGAGUUCUUCACGGGACACGUAUCGGAUACAUGGGUUUACGGGACACGGUCUGCCUCCCCUCAGGGAGAAUCUUUCUAAGGUUGACCUCGGAUCAGGUAGGGAUACCCGCUGAACUUAAGCAUAUCAAAAGGCCGGAGGAAAUUAUUUUGGUGUG